GCGCGGCCCGAGGCGGCGGGGGCGACGGGCGGAACUUAAGCAUAUCAGUACGCCCCGGAGGAGAAACCAACCGGAAUU
rnacentral:rRNA from 1 species